UACGUAGGGUGCAAGCGUUAAUCGGAAUUACUGGGCGUAAAGCGUGCGCAGGCGGCUUUGCAAGUCAGUUGUGAAAUCUCCGAGCUUAACUCGGAAAGGUCAACUGAUACUGCUCGGCUAGAGUGCGGAAGGGGCAACUGGAAUUCUUGGUGUAGCGGUGAAAUGCGUAGAUAUCAAGAGGAACACCUGCGGCGAAGGCGGGUUGCUGGGCCGACACUGACGCUGAUGCGCGAAAGCUAGGGGAGCGAACGGG
rnacentral:rRNA from 1 species